UAGAAAAUGGUGUAGAGGUAGCACGAAGAGUUUUGAUCUCUUAAGAAAGGGUUCAAAGCCCUUUUUUCUAG
rnacentral:tRNA from 1 species